GGUAGCUCAGUGGUAGAGUGCUUGCCUCACAAGCAUGAGGCCCUGGGUUCGAUUCUUCAGUACCA
rnacentral:tRNA from 1 species